UUAAAAGCUGGAUUGCGUAUGCAUUACUGCUACUCUAUACUCCAGUUUUGUUUAGCAAGAUUACAUGGAGUAAUGCACCAUUUCCGGCAACACUUCCAUCGUUGUUGAAUCUCUUUCAAACAUUCCCUUAUCAAAUCUCAACAGAGGCCUGUUUUUUGGAUUUAAGAAUCUGCUCAAUCAACAGCGUCUCUUGCCAUCACCAAUCGUUGCAUUUGCAUCCCCAUAAACAUCGCUCAACAAACAAUCAUGAUCUGUGUAUGAUAUUCCAAGAACAGAUUCGAAAUCAUCGAUUGAAACCAUUCAAUUUAGAUAACAGAAAAAAGACACUAAAUCCUAGAUUAGAUCAAAAGGAGUCAAACACUGGUGAUAACCCACUCCGCGCCUUGAGUGUCAACGCCGGCGAGGGUGGCUUUUUGGAGGGUUUCCCGUGGCGGUUUGCAAGUGGCGGUUAUGGGCAGCUCUGGUUGUGGUGGAAGCAAAGGGAUUUGAAUCUGGUGACUGGAAUGAAAGCGGUUUUUGGCGGUGGAUUCUCACACUACAAGAGAGACAAGGAUGGCUUCCGUGUUUUCGACUUUUGGUAGGUGAGAAAAAAACAUUGAUAAAGGUUAGUUUUGUCAUUUAAGUUAACGAAACUUGAAGAGGCUGUGCCGGUAUAGCAUUUUCCUUGGCUAUAAAAAAAAAAUAAUGGACAUGGAUGGACUCAUUGGUUAGGGUGGGCUAGCAUAUGGCGGAGCUCAGGCUGCGUACAGUAUGAAUGUGCUGCCGGCAGAUUAUAUGUAAAGCGUGUAGAUGUCACCGACACUAAUCCAUGUGGUGAUGGGAACUCCACGUGGACCAUCUGCUAUUGUCCAUCCCACGCAAAUGUCAUUCCUUUACAGUGAUUUUGAAGUGGGGCCUUUAAAAUUUAUCUUUGAUUUUUUUCCUGUUGAGUUUUAGAUAAAUUGAUUUUAUUUGUAUUAUGCAUUUACAAGACUGAAAGUCUUAAAUACCUCGCAAUCAAACUAAAUCUCGGUCAUAAAUACAAUGAAAGUGCAUACUGUAAAAAAACAAUCGAGUUAAAAUGUUUGUAUUUUUUUAUCUGUUUUUUACCUUUU